UCCGCGCUGGUGUACCGGUAACAUUUCCGCCUCUCAUAUUCUGUAAUACAGUGCGCGGGAGCACGGGGUUCGACUCCCCGGCGCGGAA